UCAUAUUUCCUUUUAAUCUUUGGAUAUUCCCUUUUAAAAUUUUGUGUAUAAUUUAUGCCUGAUUAAUUUAAGGAUUUGAUUUUCAUUACAACUCGGUCUCACCAAUCUGGGAAACUCGGUCUAACCGAUUUCUCCCAUAGGCCUUCUAUCAUUCUUAGUUCUAGCGAUAUAUCAGGCAAAGGGGAAGAUAUAUCAAACCUUACAUAUUCAGACGGAGAAAUACCAUUAAGGGGGG
rnacentral:lncRNA from 1 species